ensembl:lncRNA
UCACCACUCCUGCCAUAGAUGAUCUCCACGUCUUCCUCGUCUGGUCUCGUCUCUCUGUGUAUGAGGACUUACCUGUCUUCAAUCAGUCUUCCCUAAAACCUCCACUACACACCUGUCAGCACCUGUAACAAACAACUGUUUAUGCUCAAGUGUCAGAGAUCAGAAUGACGAGGAGGAAGGAGGCGACGGUCACACUGAGAGAGAGAGAGAGAGAGAGAGAGAGAAACAGGAAAACAUGACAGGGAUCCGACUGGAAAAGGGAGUUUGUAAGAAACGUCACAGCAUGUUUACUAUUAAAAUCCGCCGAUGGGUCUGAAUGUGAGCGUCCUGUGGACUGAGCCAUGCAUAGAAACGCUCCUGUGUCUCUGAAUCCGGGACGGCCGCCUGCCGGAAACGGAAAAAACGUGCAUAUUUACAGCUAACGUAGUUCCUUAUGUAGUCUGUGUUUGAAGGGAAGCUGUUCUUUCAGAUGUGCGACUCCAUCGCAGCAGUGUCUGUAUUCCCAUGAUCCCCUGGUGGAACGGCCUGGUUUUUCCGUGCCAGAAUCUCACUCCCAAUCAUAGUCCCGGUGGACUCCGGUGGAUCUCACAGGGUGGUGUAGAUGUAGACGAAGAUGAUGACGACGAGGUUGAGGAUGGUCCCAAUGAUUCCCAGCAUGGCCAGAAUGGACUCUUCCUUGCUUUCCUUGUCUUGAAUGCCCUUCUCCUCAUCACUCAGAGCAGUGUUUAGCAUUUUCCUUGGAGAAGUCUGCAGUUUUCCUUUCACACCAAUCUGGGAAAACACACACCAGCUGACCGUCAGUCGAUAUUUAAACAGUGAAAGGGGAAACUCUUCAUCAAGACUUUAAUAAAAACUAAAUUAAGGUGUUAUAGUAAAAGAAUAAAACGGGAA